GCUCUCCUAGGCAGACUGCCUACCACGGCUGACGAGCUCCACCUGCCCGGGUUUAUUGUUCGGAGUUUGCUCUCCUAGGUGUAUUACCUAUGACGGCUCACGAGCCCAACCUGCCCGGGUUUAUUGUUCGGAGUUUGCUCUCCUAGGUGAAUUGCCUACCACGGCUAACGAACCUCACCUGCCCGGGUUUGUAAUCGGAGUUUGCUCUCCUAGGUGAACUGCUUUCGCUAACGACCUCCACCUGCCCGGGUUUGUAAUCGGAGUUUGCUCUCCUAGCUGAACUGCUUUCGCUAACGACCUCCACCUGCCCGGGUUUGUAAUCGGAGUUUGCUCUCCUAGGUGAACUGCUCACGCUAACGACCUCCACCUGCCCGGUUUUGUAAUCGGAGUUUGCUCUCCUAGAUGAACUGCUUUCGCUAACGACCUCCACCUGCCCGGGUUUAUUGUUCGGAGUUUGCUCUCCUAGGUGUAUUACCUAUGACGGCU